rnacentral:rRNA from 1 species
AGUGUGAAAGCUCCAGGUUCAACCUGGAAAGUGCGCGCGAAACUGGUGGGCUUGAGUGCCGGAGAGGGUGGCGGAAUUCCCGGUGUAGAGGUGAAAUUCGUAGAUAUCGGGAGGAACACCAGAGGCGAAGGCGGCCACCUGGACGGACACUGACGAUGAGACGCGAAAGCGUGGGGAGCAAACAGGAUUAGAUACCCCGGUAGUC